AACGCACAUUGCGCCCGGCAGUAAUCUGCCGGGCAUGCCUGUCCGAGCGUCAUUUCACCCCUCGAGCCGCUUUUAGUGGAUCGGUGUUGGGGCACUACGGUAAAACGUAGGCCCUGAAAUGAAGUGGCGGUCCCGCCGCGGUGCCCCCAUGCGUAGUAACGUUUAGUCUCGCAUCGGGUCCCGGCGGAGGCCUGCCGUCAAGCCUAUUUAUUCUCAGAAUAGUUUGACCUCGGAUCAGGUAGGGUUACCCGCUGAACUUAA
rnacentral:misc_RNA from 2 species